ACUAAGAUACUAUCUGCACUUUUAUUACGCUAACAUGUUCCGACUUUACUCUGCUGCCUUUAUCGAACUAAAUAUCAGCAAGAUUCUUUAGAAAAAAAAAAAAAAGGAAACGACAAGUGGUUAGGAUUUAAAAUGUCUGCUUGUGUGUUUUCUGUGCCUCGGAGGUUUGGCUCCAAGUCUAGAUAGUUGGAUUUAUCGGUGUUUUUGUACGUUAUUACGUGUUUAACCUGUUUUAGGGAUAUGUUUAAGAAGAAGAUGAGGGUCGAAGAAGAAGAAGGGAAAGUGGAGGGAAAAUGUCGACGGUUCAGAAAAACUGUAGAGUGACGACCGCAGAGCGAGGUGGACGACUGUGAUUGGUGGAAAGGAAACAUUUGUUCAUUUCUUUCAUAGACUUGAAUAGAUGUGAGUCACGUGAGCGCCGGUCGCUCAGCCAGCGAACGGCGACGACGACGACGGGGCGGAAAACUAUGAGCCCAGUUUCAACAGGAAGUCAGAUGAAACAGUGGACCGACUUUAAAAGUAGAGUCAGUGAAUGAACAUGAAAGGGAAGCGGUGUCUGCGACGGUGUCCGAGGGUGGGGGGGUGGGUGGGUGGGGGGGUUAAAGUUAAAGCCUGACCCAGGUUCAGAGGGGACCGGUUUAUGGGCCUAAUGCUAAGCUAAUGUUUAAAGAACACAGAGGGGAUCAGUUUAUGGGCCUAAUGCUAAGCUAAUGUUUAAAGAACAGAGGUGGGACUGCAACAAAGGAGCUGCCAUGGUUAGGCAAAUGCGACUGAAUUGAAUUAAUUUAAUAAAAAAAGACAAUCAAACAGACAAAAAACUCUUUUCAUUAACAUUCAAUUAACUUCAAACUUAGAAAACUAUGUCCUCUUUUUUAGGCAACUUUGAAUUAACUCUUUCAAAGUUGGAUUUUGUACAUCAUUGUAAAAGCUAUAGCACAUUAUAUCUAUUAUAUAUAAAACAAUUUCCUCUUUUUUCAUGUUUUUGGCAACUUUGAAUAAAAAAUAAAUAAAUAAAAAAUCCUCUUUUCAUCAACAUCGUAUUUAACUUCAAACUUAGAAAACAAUUUCCUCUUUUUUCCUGUUUUUGGCAACUUUGAAUUAGCUCACUCAAAGAUGGAUUUUGUACAUUAUUGUCAAAGCUAGAGCACAUUAUCUUACAUUAUUUGCUGAUGACGACAGCUUUUAUUUCCCAAAUUUUGACCUUUUUCUUACAUAUUUUAAUUUAAUACAUUUUGCAGAACGAGGAGCCAAAGUGAAUUAUCAUACACAAGAAAUUUGUCAGAGCAAAAUUGACUCAAAUUGAAGAAAAUGCUGUUACUCUACCCAGAUAACAUUUGGCCCCUCUCUAAAAAGAAUUAAAUGUUACUCUUUGGGUAGAGCUCUCCAAACUCAAUCUAGAGCCAAAUUUAUUCAAUUUAGAGCAAAAAUGUAUUCUCUUUGAGGAAAACACUUUUGACUCUGAAAAAAAUGCUCAGUAAUAUUUCCGUGUGUAGAGAGAAGGAAAAAAAAAUCUGUUUUGCUUUCCAUUAACAAAUCAGGUGAAUAUUUUCAUCCUUCAUUUGAAAUAUUCAAAACAGGAAAAGAGGGCGGACCCUAAAGGUGAGAGGGGGCGGAGCCACAGAACCUGGUGUUUCUUCAUGUACAUUUAGAACCAGUGCAGCGGCUGCAGGCGGUGGACCUGGACCUGGACCUGGACCCGGACCCGGACCUGGACCCAGACCCAGACUGUUUUUAGGAUCAGGUCCUGGGGUCGAACUGAGGCCCGAGGCCCAGGACAGGAGAUAAGGUCUGGACUUAAGUUAAGUAAAGGAGUCCGUGUUGGAUGGUGCUGCUGUUCUCUUCAUGUCCUUGAAAACCAGACGAACCAGGAAAGUGGGACCUGUUCACAAACGGCCCCACCCCCAACAGGUUUGGAACGCUCAGAAUAUUCUAAAACCACCGCAGACCAGAGUCCAAGUCUGUAACUGUAACUGUAACUGUAACUGUAGCAGCGCUGUCAGGUCCUUCAGUUCAGCUCUGAGCUUUUAUGUCUUUACUCACUUCCCUGUUCCUGUUUUUUUUUCUUUAUAUGAUGCCCCCCCCCCCCCACACACACACCCACAGUUCAAGAACAGCCGUCAGUUGAUGGUUCCACCGGUCGGUCCUGCAGGGCCGUAUUUCCUUGUUCCCGCCCCCUUUUGUUGUGUUGUCUGGCAGUGAUUGGUCGGACCGGCUCUACCUGCGUGGCACAUCCUGAAACUGACACAUGAGCUUCAGCUGAAACAGCUGCAGUCCAAUCCAAAAUGGAGCCUCAUCCCACAUUCACUUGUAGAGCUGUGAAACCAGGGGUGUCAAACAUGUGGCCCAGGGGCCAAAUGUGCCCCCCCCCCCCCCAAAGCUUCCAAUCCAGCCCCUGGGAUGAAUUUAAUAAGUGCAAAAAAAGAUCCAGAGUCUUGAAUUUAAUGAAGAAAAAACAAACAAACAAACUUCAAUUAAGUAAAAAAACAUCUUGAAUUAAGCCAAUUUUUUUUUUUUAUCUUGAAUCAAGCGAGAAAAAAAAAAAAAAAAAACAACCAUAAAAUUUUGCAAAAAAUCUUGAAUUAACAAAAUAACUAAUGAUUUUACAAAGUGCAAGAAAUUCCACUGUCUUGCAUUGACUUAAGCAAAAAAAAAAAAAAAAAAAAAA